GACGAACGCUGGCGGCGUGCCUAAUACAUGCAAGUCGAACGCACUCUCGUUUAGAUUGAAGGAGUUUGCUCCUGAUUGAUAAACAUUUGAGUGAGUGGCGGACGGGUGAGUAACACGUGGGUAACCUGCCCUAAAGUGGGGGAUAACAUUUGGGAACAGAUGCUAAUACCGCAUAAAACCUAACACCGCAUGGUGUAGGGUUGAAAGAUGGUUUCGGCUAUCACUUUAGGAUGGACCCGCGGUGCAUUAGUUAGUUGGUGAGGUAAAGGCUCACCAAGACCGUGAUGCAUAGCCGACCUGAGAGGGUAAUCGGCCACACUGGGACUGAGACACGGCCCAGACUCCUACGGGAGGCAGCAGUAGGGAAUCUUCCACAAUGGACGAAAGUCUGAUGGAGCAACGCCGCGUGAGUGAAGAAGGUUUUCGGAUCGUAAAACUCUGUUGUUGGAGAAGAAUGUAUCUGAUAGUAACUGAUCAGGUAGUGACGGUAUCCAACCAGAAAGCCACGGCUAACUACGUG
rnacentral:rRNA from 1 species